GUCAUCUGAAUAUCAUUUCAAAUUUUUUCUUUUGACGGUUCAGUUUUUUGGGAAAGUUUGUUCUUUCAAAAAACCGAUUCUUCUGCUUUUCUUUACUUUCCUCUCAUUUCUCUUCUUCCCCUUCCAUUCUCAAUCCGGUUCUCGUCUCCAGUCAAUCCUUCGUUGAUUUUCAGCAUACCCUGGGACCCUUAUUUCCAGGUACAUCUCUUCCUUUCUUUUUAGAGUUUUUAUUGCCAAUGUAUGCGCAAGGGCGUUUGCAGAUCUUAGUAUAUGUUUGAAUAUGAAACUUCUAGAUAUAUUUAAUUUCUGUUGAAUAUCGUAUAUAUAUGCUCCAAUAUGUGAACGAUCUUGACUUUUUGUUACACAUUUCUUGAUUAUUCUGAGAGAGCCUCCUUUUAUUAUAACCUUCGGCCAUUCCUAUUCCACUCCUACUUGGACCGCUUUCCUACAUGUGAUUGCUUCAGCUGCAAAUGCGAAAGUUACCCCAUGAUGGAUCUCUAAGCAGAAAGUAAGACAACCCAUUCUUCGUUUCUGACAACAAUCCCUGAGGCAGAUUGGUGGUGAUUCGCAUCAUACGCACCAUCAAAAUUAAUUUUUACGAAUUCAUUAGGUGGAUAACUCCAUCUUCUUAUCUCCUUCCCCUUUACUGGAUUUCUCAUUUCUAAACCAUUUAAUUCAGCCAUAUAGUUGUUGAUGAAAUCUGCUAUUUCCUGCCCUGUACUAUUUUUCUGCUCAUGUAUUCUUCGUUUCUGACAACAGAAGAGGCGGCUCUGGUAUGAAGUAAGCUGAUCAAAGAUCCAGGUAAUCCAUUGUAAAAAAAAUCCAUGUUAGGAUCUAGAAUAAAAUUUUGAAUUUUUAAUAGUGUCCAAACUUCUAUUGUGACAGGACAUUCGCGAAAAAUAUGGUCGAUUGUUUCAGCCAUUUCUCCACAUCGGGGGCAGCUUGUACUACUAACAAGUUUUCGGUGCUGCAUAUUAACCCUGUCGGCAAAUAGUUCCAUGAAAUUCUCCAUACUGUAACUUUGAUUUUAUUUGGAAGAUUUAGGAGUCAAAGUUUUUUGUAAAAAUUCCUGUAAUCAAUUUGUAAAGCGUAAGCUCUAGGAAUUUCAUCAAAAGUUUGUAAUAGUUUAUAGGCACUGCAGACCGAAAACUCGCCUGAAUACGCGCCUCUUCAGACAAGUAGAUCAUUGUGAGGUGUGUAUGCUAAAGGUAUCCGGAGGAUUUUUCCAGCAUCUUCCUUUGAAAAGGUAUUCUUUAUAAGUUCUCUUUUCCAUGUUCUCUCAUUACUGUUGAUCAACUCACUAGCCUUGACAUCACACAUACAAUUAACAACUGAAGAUAAUUUAACAUUAACAGCAUCUGGAAUCCAAGCAUUAGCAUUGAUAGAAAUAUUUGUACCUGUACCAACCCUCCAACAUAUUCUUUUUUUCCAAAAUACCCUUCACUGCCCAUAUGCUUUUCCAUAUAUAAGAACUGGUUUUCCCCAAUCGAGAAUUUAAAAAAUAUUCAUUUGUGAAAUAUUUUGUUUUAAAAACUCACAUAACCAAAGAAUCUUGAUUAGUAAUAAUCCUCCACCCUUGCUUAGCUAGUAAUGAAAUAUUGAAUUGAGCUAGAUUUCUAAAGUCCAUUCUCCCUCCUCUUUUGAUCGACAUAUAAAUUUCCAUUAACACUAGUGUAUCCCUUUCCUUCCCUAUCCUUUUUGCCACCAGAAUUUAGCGAAAAUAUUUUCUAACUCCUCACAUAAUAAUUUUGGUAGGAGGAAACAUAUCAUAGCAUAAGUUGGAAUUGCUUGAAGAACAGAUUUUAUAAAGACCUCAUUUUCCCCUUGUGAUAGUAACCUUGUACUCCAGCUUUCAAUUCUUGACUUAACUUUAUCUUUGAGAUUCUAAAAAGCUUUCUUCUUUUGUUUGCCUACAACAUUAGGGAGUCCUAGAUAUUUUUCCAAAUUUGUGGAGCAUCUCAUACCUAGUAAACUCGAGAUUUCUUCUGUCUCUUUCUGCUGUAUUUGAGCUAUAGAAAAUUGUCGAUUUGCUAAAAUUCACGCAUCGACCUGAUUGUUCAUAUUCUUUCAAAAUGUCUUUUAAAAUUCUUGCCCUUCUAUUUGUCGCUUCACCAAAUAGUAUACAGUCAUCUGUAAACAGCAAGUGCGAUAUUUCUGGUCAUUUUCUACUAACCCUCACUCACUUCAUCAAUCCCUCAGCUAUUGCUAAUCUUAUCAAAGAUGAGAUUCCCUUAUUGCAUAUUAAAAAAAAAGGGCUAAGCGGGUCACCCUGACGAAGCCCUCUAGUCGGCUUAAAAACAUUUCCUCUUCUCCCAUUGAUAUUCAUUGUAUAAGAGACUGUAGAGAUACAUUUCAUGAUUAAUGUCGCCCAUUCCAUUGUAAAUCCCAUUUGAAGCAUAACUUCCUUUAGAAAAGCCCACUUAACUUAUCAUAAGCCUUGUUCAUAUCUAGUUUUACUGCCAUAAGCCCUUUUUUCCCAGUUAGUUUUGACGUAGCAUAUGUAAUAGUUUAUAUGCUAUAAGCACAUUGUUAGUAAUUAAUCUUUCGGGAACGAAAGCACUUUGAGCUUUGUCAAUACAUUUUCCAAUGACUUCCUAAAGAUGAUUUGUAAAUGUUUUUGCCAUAAUUUUGUAUAAAAUUGUGCAUAAGCUGAUAGGUCUAAAAUUAACAAGACUUGUGGGAUUUGGUACUUUUGGGAUAAGUACAAUAUCUGUAAGGUUUAGAGAGUCAAAAUCCCUUCCAUCAUUCAGAAGUCCCAAGCAAAAAACUUUCAAGAGCUUUACCUACAAUGUGCCAAAAUCUUUGAAAAAAUAAAGCAGGAAAUCCAUCAUAACCUGGUGCUUUAGUGGGCCCUAUUCCUUUCAAAGCUGAAAAUACCUUUUCUGUCGUAAAUGGUAUUAGUAAAUCUGUAUAGAUAUCAGAUGAAAUAUUAGUAUUAAUGCCCUUUAGAAGGUGGGAUAAAUUCCCAAUUCCCUUUGACGAAAAUAAAUUCUAAAAGUAAUUUGAAGCGGCCUCAUUAAUCGCUGAUUCAUCAUAAAUUUCCUUCCCUUCAUCAGAUUCCAGCCUAGUAAUAGUGUUAAUUUGUCUACGAGCUAAGGCAUAUUUGUGAAAAAAGGCAAAAUUUUUAUCUUCUAAUUGAAGCCAAUUGGCUCGUGCCCUCUGUUCCCAAGACAUUUCGUCUUUAGCAAUCUCCAUAUUAAGUUGAAUUCUAGUAUCAAUCAGCUUUGCCAUUGUGUCAUCAUCCCUAUCGCUUGCCAGUAGAUCUUCAAGUUCCUUUGUGAACUUAGUCUUUAACCUAUCUCAACCCUGCUUUAUUGAGCUUGCCCACCUUAUAUCUGCAGCCUUCUAAACUUUUCAAUAAUAGAUCCAUUUGAUGACUCCCAUGAUUUUAUAAUCUCUCGUUCAAUAGAUGCCUUCAUGGUCCACCAUGCCUUUAAUUUGAAUCUUGGAAUCCCCUUAUAGUUCUUCUCAUUAUUAGUACUGAUAAGUAGGGGAUAAUGAUCUGAAAUCGAGUGUGUUAAAUGAUGAAUAAUUCCUUUUGGGAAAAGAUGCAUCCACUUUUCAUUCGCCACUCCCCUAUCCAGUUGCUCUUUAAUAUUUAUUUUCGGUAGAUUCCUCCCUUCCGUGUAAACCAAACCCCUGAAUACCCCAUGUCCAUUAAUUGACAUUCUUCUAAAACCUCACUUAAAGUUUUCAUUCUUUUCUCCUCCUUCGAUUAACGUCCACUUUUUUUUUAAAAGAAUACAUUAUUUCAUUAAAAUCACCUCAUACCAACCAUUGGUGGUUUUGAUCCUGACCCAACUUCCUUAACAAAUUCCACGAGACACUCUUAUUAUUAACAUAAAGUGAAUCGUAAAACCCUGUAAAGCUCCACUCUUCAUUGAAAUUGUCCUCUUUUAUCAUCACAUCAAUAUGGCUUUUUGAGAAAUUGUUUGGACAAACCGUAAUACCUGCUUUCUAUGCCAUACAAAUUUCAUCUCUAAAACCUUCAACUCCUACAUCAAUCCCAUUUUCAAAACCAUAUCUCCUCCUAAUUUUUUUCAUGCGCUUUUCGUCUAUUUUGGUCUCCAUAAGGAAGACUAUUUAGGGUUUAUGUUGCUUCAGCAAAUACUGAAGCCUUCUCACUGACCGUGAACUCCCCAAUCCACGAACGUUCUAGCAAAUGGUUUUCAUUGUGCCCGGUCGACUUGCCAUUUGGCAGUUGACGAUUUAUUUUGGUUGGUAAUACACCCUUGCUUGAGAAUUUUUACCAACAAAAUUAUGCCUCCUUCGAUAUGAAAGUCUUGGCCGUCGUACUUCAUUCUUUUUGCUUCCUCUUUACAGGAUUUUCCUUUGCCAUUGUCUUUAAUUUCUAUAUCCUCUGAUUUUCUUUUUCUCAAUAUACUCUCUCCGUUACAAAUAUCCACCUCUCUUACUACCUCAAUUCUCUUCCAACUCGAUUUCUUGGCUGGUUUCAAAAUUCCUGCGUAAUUAUUAUUUUCCCCAUUUGCUUUUUCUUCCACAACUAUCUCUUCCUCCUGUAUCAUCAUCCCUUUCUCUGUUUCUGUAAAUUGUAAACUAUCUUGGAUUUUUUGGGCCAUGUCACUUUUAUCCUUCUCUUGAAAAUUUAACUCAAGAAUCUUCUCUAUAUCACCUGUAUAUGAACAUUGAGGCUGCACCUUCUUUGAAAAGACAUUAAAAUUUAAACUCUCCCUUUCAAUAAAAUUUACUUCUGCUUUUAAUGCUAAAGAAUAAAGAAGAUCAUCUCUGAUUUUAUUUUUUUUACAGGUGUAAAAUUGAGGCAUUCGAUGAGCCCAUGCUCCACAUUCCAUAGUCAAACCAGAAUGUUGGUAAUUUUUCAUAUUUAAAAGGGAUUCAGGACUUACUUUGAUUUUCAGUUGAGACGAAAAUACCCCUGCGCAAGGGUUUUUGCACAUCUAACUGAACUCUAAGCUGACAGAAUUCACCAUUAAUUGUAGAUCUCAGAACGCCUCCAAAAGUAACCCCAAUAGCAUGCAUUAAAUCUUUUUUUAUCAAAUUCUGGUAAACAUGGUCCAAUUUUAAUCCAAAACGGGGAUGAAUUAAGCCUAAUAUGACUUAUUUCCAUCGGUUUAUUCAACUGAUCAAAGAGCAUUAAAUUUUUCUGAAACAACCAUGAUUGCCC
rnacentral:lncRNA from 1 species